AAAAUAAUUGUGUAAAUACUCUGUGCUUCAUAUAAUUAUUAAAACUACAAACACUGUAUAUGGAUUAUAUUUCGACUUCUAACCCAGUUUUUUUUAAGAAAAAUUUCUGCUAUUUCGAAUAUCCUACGAGUGCAGUUCAAUGCAGCUUCAAUUGGGUUCUGUGAAUGAUUCGAACUUCGACUUCUAGCCCAGUUUUUUUGAAGGUUAUUCUAAUGGAUUGGGGGAAUAAACUUCUAAUCCAAAAUAACCUGCCUCAAAUUACUAAUCCAUGGACAAUAUCAAGACAAAUGGACCGCCAGCUCAUAAUAAAACAAAA